UACGUAGGUGGCGAGCGUUUGCCGGAUUUAACUGGGCGUAAAGAGCGCGCAGGCGGUCGUGCAAGUCGCGUGUGAAAGCCCCCCGGCUCAACUGGGGGAGGGUCACGCGAUACUGCUCGACUCGAAGGCAGGAGAGGGAAGUGGAAUUCCCGGUGUAGUGGUGAAAUGCGUUAGAUAUCGGGAGGAACACCAGUGGCGAAGGCGAACUACCUGGCCUGUUCUUGACGCUGAGGCGCGAAAGCUAGGGGAGCAAACGGGG
rnacentral:rRNA from 1 species